rnacentral:sRNA from 1 species
UCCCAGCAACUGGGGUUACUGGAUCCGA